rnacentral:rRNA from 1 species
AAUCAACGCUGGCGGCGUGCCUCAGACAUGCAAGUCGAACGAUUAAAGCUCUCUUCGGAGAGUGCAUAGAGUGGCGCACGGGUGAGUAACACGUAAGUAAUCUACCCUCGAGUGGGGAAUAACGUCCGGAAACGGACGCUAAUACCGCAUAAUGCAGCGGCACCGCAAGGUGACAGUUGUUAAAGAUUUAUCGCUUGAGGAGGAGCUUGCGGCAGAUUAGCUAGUUGGUAAGGUAAUGGCUUACCAAGGCUACGAUCUGUAACCGGUCUAAGAGGACGGUCGGUCACACUGACACCGAAUAACGGGUCAGACUCCUACGGGAGGCAGCAGUCGGGAAUUUUGGGCAAUGGGCGAAAGCCUGACCCAGCAACGCCGCGUGAAGGAUGAAGUAUUUCGGUAUGUAAACUUCGAAAGAAUAGGAAGAAUUAAUGACGGUACUAUUUAUAAGGUCCGGCUAACUACGUGCCAGCAGCCGCAGUAAUAC